rnacentral:ncRNA from 1 species
UGUCUCCUCCACCUCCUCCUUGGUGGAUUAAGCCCGGGCCAAGCUGCCUGGGCUUUUUUUC